AAUUCAUAACAAACAAACAAACCUUUUCUUUUAUAUGUAGAUACAUUGACUCGAGUUAUAUUGAGAAGAGAAAAAUAACUCAUUUUGUACAAGGGACGAAACGGCACUUUAAACCACUACUCGGCACUUUUAAUUUUAUGCGCAUGCCAUGCGUGUCGUAACAGUGAUAUUGAGACGCCUGCACUUGUCGAGUUUGGUUUGGUGGGUACGAAGCGAAGUAGAACAAAGAGCCCAAUAUUAUUAUCAAGUACAACUAACGAAGAGGUGUUCGAAAGCGGAAGAUAGUGAAGUGGACAGAAGAAGUUGGAAAAGUCAUCAAGAGAGUCUUGGAGAUUUGUACUUUUCUCUGGAGUAGAAAUAUUAGAGUAGCAGAGUUAUUGUCUAUAUGAGUAUCAAGUCUGAACAUAACAAGGCCAAUGUCAUCAUACAAAAUAGCAUCCACACUCCUACAGCCAGUCUAGAGUACUUGGAAGAGAGUACAAUGUCAACUGAUAGUCCAUUAAUAACUAACCCUUCUACUAGGCAGGCAUCGCUAUCAGGGCCAAGUGGAAUUCGAUAUAGAAAUCUUGGAAAAUCAGGACUUCGUAUAUCCAAUAUUGGCUUAGGUAAGCUAUGUCAGAUAAUU